GGGAAAUAAUGUAGGUAGUAAAAACAUAUUUUUCCUGUGUAUGGACCGUGAAUUAAUAUUUGUCCCCUUGCCCCGUUAUAUAAACAAUUGAUAAGCUCACUGCGGAAACGGAAUUAUUAAAAUUGCUCAUGCUAAGUGCAUUAGUCGGCUGUUGAUUUUUUUGAUAAGGCCCAAUGUUUAUUAUCUAACGUAGUCUGCAAUUUCAUUGCGGCCACCCCCCCCUUUAAAUCCACAUACUUUGCUCUCACUAACACGCGCGUGGAAGGCGACGCAACGUCAUCAGAAACCCACUUUGAAAAAACUUCAGACGCUGGUCACAUGUUGCCCCCACAUUCUUUCUCUCCUUCUCACACGCUCUUUGUGUUUCACUCGCUUAUAUUUGCCAGUCGGUGAUUAAUUGCGUCAGAACUGCUCAGCAACAGGCGGAAAACUUCCAGGAAGCAUCAUACGAAAAACGUUAGUUGUUUACAUAACUAUUAUAUUAUUCCAGGGUCUGUGUUACGGUCAUCCUGUUAAUUGCCGGAUUAUAAAUUGCAUGCAGCAAUUUGAACUUGAGAGUGCAAAGUACCGUUGCGAGUAUCAUGCACUUUGGCAGUGAGAGGUGGCAAAGCAACAACAAUGUCAACAUCCCAUUUGGCCUUGGUGAGAAUUUUUUCAGCUAAUUGCCGUGCGUGUGUGUGCGUGAGAUGAAGGGAAAGUGCAAUUGGAAAAUUGGAAGCAGGCCAAAGGCAGCUGUGUUUUUCCUUGUGUGGGUGAGCAAGGUGGUGAGAACAAAAAGAUGUCUGAAAAUUGGGCCAACAACCAAGUUUCCUGAGAACAGCAAAUGUUACAUAAGCCGACUUUUCGCAGAGGUGAAAUCUCUUUUAUUUAUAUUAUAGAAAACUGCACAUCGCAGAAAGAAAACCUGCUUAGCAACCACGUGGCGUGCUUAAAGACCGAAGCUGAAGCAUAGGCAAAAAAAAAUUCCAAGAAUUAAUUUUUUGUCACUGAGCGAGCGAGACAGCUGAUGAUCGGGUACGCCACUCUCUUUGCUCAUGUAAUCGACUCUCUCCGGGGCUUUUUUCAAUGGCAAUGUGACUUUGGGAUGCUAUUUUUACUAUUAACCACUGCUAAUAUUUGCUAAUGGAAAACUCGCUAAAUAAACUAAUAAAUAUCUAAUGAAAAAUCA